rnacentral:rRNA from 1 species
UCCCCCGAGGGUUCCGUUGUUCCUCAUCGUGCAGCCAGUGAGUGCAGCGUUCUCCCCCAGGGGUUCCGUUGUUCCUCAUUGUGCAACCAGUGAGUGCAGCGUGCUCCCCCGGGGGUUUUGUUGUUCCUCAUUGGGCUGUUGUCAUGCCUGUCGUUGGGGUCUCGUGCCCUGGCUCCAGGCUAACCAAACCCCCGGCACGAGUUGUGCCAAGGAACACAAAUGAAAUGCUUGGGGGGUGCUUUGCCCCCUUACAGUAUUAAACAAAACGACUCUUGACAACGGAUAUCUAGGCUCUUGCAUCGAUGAAGAACGUAGCGAAAUGCGAUACUUGGUGUGAAUUGCAGAAUCCCGUGAACCAUCGAGUUUUUGAACGCAAGUUGCGCCCGAAGCCUYCUGGCCGAGGGCACGCCUGCCUGGGCGUCAUAAUUCGUCACCCCUCCUACCAUGCCCUUGGGCUGACUGGGUCGGGGUGGAAUCUGGCUUCCCGCGUCCCCUAGGCGCGGCUGGCCGAAAUYUGGACGCACCAAGGCAUUGCCUGUAGCGGCCUAGGUGGAUCGAAAGGCCCUCUAAGUUUGCCGUGCAGUGCAGUGCCAUCGGUGCCCCAUGGCCCCUCUCGUGUUUUCCCUGUGCGGGAAAAUACUGUUGCGCGACCCCA